GCGGCGGCCGCGGACUCCCAAGGCCGGAGAAGUCUCGCCCUCAGUUCGAGGAGUUGCGGUUAAAAUGGCAAGCGGGACAUUGGAGGGUAUUAGGUUAAAUAUUUAUUUUUAAGUAUUUCUGGACAGAACUUGUAUUUCCAGCCCUUCCUUAGGCUGUCCAUUCACAUGAAGUGGUUGACUUUUUAUUCAGAUUAUACUUUUUAAAAAAUUGUUUUAAUUAUCCGUAAUAGUUCCCCGUUAAAAAAAUGACAAGUAAAAUUUUUUAAAAAUGAAAAAUUCAUGGAAUCUUAGAGUUGAGAAAACAGUACAGUAGAGCGUUUAAGAGCUGGAACUCUGAGGACUUCCCUGGCGGUCCAGUGGUUAAGACUCUGCGCUCCCACUGCAGGGGGCACCCGGUUGGAUCCCUGGUCCAGAAUGAUUUUGACCUACACCCAGUGUUGAUGCUACCAGGAGAAAAAAAUUCACUGCAAAGACGCUUCACCUUUUACCAAGUGUCCAGCGUUCCAGAUCACCUUUGAUGAGCAGAGAUUAAAGGUUAUCCCUAAACUGGCUUUGCAGGAUGCCGGGAGGAACUCAUCCUCCGACCACUACCCUUCCGGGAACUUGCCAGCACAGGCACCUUUUUCUCUACGCCUAUGUGUAAAAGGUGGUAGCAGCAGAGUCCCUCAGCCAUGAAGACAUCCCAGGGCAUAUAAAAGUUAUGUUUAGGGGUUUCCCUGGUGGCGCAGUGGUUGAGAAUCUGCCUGCCAAUGCAGAGAACACGGGUUCGAGCCCUGGUCUGGGAGGAUCCCACAUGCUGCGGAGCGGCUGGGCCCGUGAGCCACAACUACUGAGCCUGCGCGUCUGGAGCCUGUGCUCCGCAACAAGAGAGGCCAUGAGAGUGAGGGACCCGCACACCGCGAUGAGGAGUGGCCCCCGCUCGCCGCAAGUAGAGAAAGCCCUCGCACAGAAACGAAGACCCAACACAGCCAAAGAUAAAUAAAUAAAUAAAUUUUUUAAAAAAAUUCAAAAAAAAAAAAGUUAUGUUUAUACUAUACUGUAGUCUAUUAAGUGUGCAAUAGCAUAUUUUUAUGUCUAAAAAAACAAUGAAUAUACCUUAAUUUCAAAAUAUUUUGUUGCUAAAAAAUGCUAGUUCAAUUACAAUAGAACAUCAAAGAUCACUGAUCACAGAUUACAGUAAUAAAUGUAAUAAUGAAAAAGUUUGAAAGACUGCGAGAAUAACCAAAAUGUGACAAGACACAAAGUGAGCAAACGCUGUUGGAAAAAUGGCACCGAUAGAAUUCUCAACGCAGGGCUGCCACAAACCUUCAAUUUGUAAAAAAUGCAAUAUCUGCAAAGUACAAUAAAGCAAAGCACGAUAAAACAACG